AGUCCAAGUCAUGUGACUCGAGUCCAAGUCAUGUGACUCCAGUCCCCACCACUGUGGAUUCGCAUUAUGGAACUUGAAAAAUAGCACACAAAAAAAAACAACAACAAGGAAAUGUAACAGUUGUAAUGUACAUGUUGUUAAGGAACUGUUAAUGUUCCUUAACAAUUCCUCCUUAAAAUAAUUCCUGAAGUCUGUCUCCUGAGCCGACGUCCUCCGGACCGUCAGUCAGAAAUGAUUUCAAACUAAAGAAGUCCUCCUCAGCCUUUGUGUCUGACUUUGUCUCUGUGCUCGCUGACAUCCAGCUCAUCUAGAUGGCAGCAUGUUCCGCWCAAAGACACGAUGAAAGCAGAGCAACUGAAACGCCCCUCCGGUUCCUGAAAAGCUGUCAGGACAACAGCUGCUCGCUCGUCGCCAUGGCAACGUCUGCUGGCGGCGCAACAGCCUCUGUGUUUACAUGUGAAGUGACUAAAUAUGAGGCAAAUGUAAGCGAUGUAAGAAAGUAGGUGAAGCUAAUAAAGAACAGGGAGGUGAGGAUUCAACAGCCAGGCAGCCAGAAGAGCAUUGAAUCAUUAAAAACAUCGCACUAAUUAUGAAACAUUGACAAAUGUACUGGUCAGGGUUCAGUUAGUAAAAGUCAGAAGCAGCUCUGACCAGCUGGACUUGCCUUGAACUGGGAGCUGACGGUGGGCCGUCGGUGCUUGGUGCUGCCCUUCAGCGUGUCCUGCUUGUUCCGGCUCAGGACGUGUUCAAACAGAUCAUAGACAAAGUCCAACCUGGCAAACAAAGGGCGGAGUCAGGAACAGCAUCCCCCUCACGUCAUACACCACCUGGAGACGGCCACAAGGGGGCAGCGCGGUUUUACGGGAGCGAAGCUUUGUUUUUUUUUUUUCCUCACAGUUUUCAGAUCUCAAUAAAAACAGCA